rnacentral:tRNA from 1 species
GUUACUUUGGCAGAAAAGUGUGAUAGAUUUAGAAUCUUUUUAUAUAGCUUAUAGCUAUAGGUAAUA